GCAAGAGGAGGAGGCAGAGCGCGAGAGAUCCCGUCCGCCCCAGCCGCGUCUGGGCCAGGAGAAAAGCAAAACCAUAUUCCUGCUGCUGUCAGUUUUGAUGCACUGAGAAAACUUCAGAGACCUAAGCUUUUUCCAGAGAAGAGAAGCUUUACUGGUGUUCCAGCCCUAAGGCUCAUAUGACAUUAACAGACAAGACACUUUUCAGAAAGACAGAUGGAGUCUCUCUGUCACCCAGACUGGAAUGCAGUGGCAUGAUCUUGGUUCACUGAAACCUCUGCCUUUCUGGUUCAAGCAAUUCUCAUGUUUCAGCCUCCCAGGCAACGUGUUGGACCUUCCGGAGCUUCUCAGAAGACAGAGGGUUUUCUUUUGAGGCUGUUGUACAGUGGCCUGAUUAUAGCUCACUGUAGCCUCGAAAUUCUGGGCCGAAAUGAUCCGCCUGCCUCAGCCUCCAAAGUAGCUGAGACUACAGUACCGUCUGGCAAAUGAUCUGCUUGGAUCCUCCUGGCUUUUUGAGAAUCGGCUGGCAUCAGGGUGCUGACUGACAAACUUCCCGGGGUCUGGGCACGGUGGGGACGGAGCCUGCAGACGGCGGUGUCCCCGCUAGAAGAGCCGUGGGGACGUGAUUAACAGGUCAGGCCGGGCCGCGAGGUGGCGGAGGGGCCGCGCUUGCGGGCGUGGGGCGCUGGCAGAACGCGAUCCGCGGCCUGUGGCCCGCAGCCGGACCCGAGCGCCAGCCUCCCGCAGCGUGUCUCCAGCGCCCUCUACUGUUCAGCAUCCUCCCCGCCGCGAGGGGAGCCGCGGAAGGGGAUUCUGGCUGUGACCGCAGAGCAGGUAUUAAAGGAUGGAUUUGGAGGUGCGAGGCCAUACAUUGACAACGGGUAUACCAUGCGUCCCAAAACCUUCCAGCGUGUCCCCUUCCAAACACUACCUCUCCCUCCCCACCAAAAUAACCAAAAUAACCAACG
ensembl:lncRNA NUTM2A-AS1 NUTM2A antisense RNA 1